GGAGGGUGCAAGCGUUACUCGGAUUUACUGGGCGUAAAGCGCGCGUAGGCGGUUUGGCAAGUCUGAUGUGAAAGCCCUGGACUCAAUUCAGGAAGUGCAUUGGAUACUGUCAGACUGGAGUACAGGAGGGGUGAGCGGAAUUCCAGGUGUAGAGGUGAAAUUCGUAGAUAUCUGGAGGAACAACGGUGGCGAAGGCGGCUCACUGGACUGUAACUGACGCUAAGGUGCGAAAGCGUGGGGGGGAGCGAACGGGAUUAGAUACCCCGGUAGUCCACGCUGUAAACGAUGGACACUAGGUGGCGGGAGCUUUACCCGUCUCGUUGCCGCAGCUAACGCAUUAAGUGUCCCCGCCUGGGAUUACGGCCGCAAGGUUA
rnacentral:rRNA from 1 species